rnacentral:lncRNA from 1 species
ACUUACUUCUCCAAAACAACGUCGAAACCGUAUCUACUCCGCUGGAGGGUUCUAGUCUUUGUACCUUUCACCUAAUCAAAAUUACAAACAUACUUAACACAACGUGGAAUGAAAACUAAACACCAACACCUUAAAUCUUAUUCAAGAACAAAUUAACAACUAAAAUAACAGAAAAAUAGCUUGACAAACUUACACCAUGCUUUGAACACCAUGCUUUGAACUACGAUCGAAAAGCGAAUUUUAUACACAUACACAAAAGCAAAAUUGAAAUGACAACAAGCAAAACCAAUGGAAACGGAGAAAAGAAAAUAAAAUAAAAUAAAGAAGAAAAAUGAAAAAGAGGGGAAGAAAAGAACGUGAGAGUGGGAGCGACAAUUUGG